rnacentral:rRNA from 1 species
UACGUAGGGUGCGAGCGUUGUCCGGAAUUACUGGGCGUAAAGAGCUCGUAGGUGGUUUGUCGCGUUGUCCGUGAAAACUCACAGCUUAACUGUGGGCGUGCGGGCGAUACGGGCAGACUGGAGUACUGCAGGGGAGACUGGAAUUCCAGGUGUAGCGGUGAAAUGCGUAGAUAUCUGGAGGAACACCGGUGGCGAAGGCGGUUCUCUGGGCAUUACCUGACGCUGAGGAGCGAAAGCGUGGGGAGCAAACAGG